UGCAGUUGGCUAGUGGUUGCAGGUGACACGUUGGUCUGGCAACCAGUGAGCAAUUGUUGUUGAGGGUGGUUAUUGUUUUUGCUUUUUUGCACAAAGGGGUGUGUAUGGUGAUGAGUGGUUUUCAUUGCUGGUGAGGUUGUUUCAAACUUACCUGGCUUGUGUUUUGGCACUGUUUGGUGUGCUUUCUGAUGUGGGAAAUCAUUGUCUUUCCAUAUUGAAGAGGUGGUUCUGUGUGCCGUAGCAUGGUGGAAGUUUGAUAGUGUUGAUGUGCCAUGGUGUUACCAUGUGAAUGAAGAUGAGUAUUUGCUGUGAUACAGUGCCCCUGUGGUGGAAGUGUAUGGUGGGAUGAGGAUGGUGAUUUGGUACUUGAUGUGAUAUAUAUGGACCCUUUUGGUGAUUGUGUGGUGGCUAUUGCUUGUGAAGAUGAUAAAAACCUUGAUUUUAUGUUUGUAGGCUUUGGAGGGUAUGGUGUUGUUUGGGGAUUCUCUGGUCUCAGAUGUUUCAUGUGUGGCUAGAACAACUGGAUUAUGGCAGUGCAUUCUGUUAGGAGGUUACUGUUGUAGGUGAUAAAAAAAAUUGUGAGAGCUUAAAGUUACUACCAGGCUGAAAAUUUGGGAGAUUGGGGCUUUGGUGUGUUGCUCUUUGGUGUGUUCUAUGACUAUCUUCUAGCUGUGGCUAUCAAAUCUGGUGUUCAAGCAAUUUCUUCUCCUCUCUAUAUGCAUGGUCAAGUGUGCCCUGGAUAGUGUCUGCGGCAGGAGUGUUGCAUGUCAUUCUUCCGCCUUUUCUCCCAUGUAAAGCCAAGAGUGCUGUAGACGGUGUUUCUAGCAACUAGAGUGUUAUAGACUUAUAGUCAACUAGAAAGGUGUGACCAAGUAUUACAAAAUGACAAACUAGAUUUGAAGAUAGAAUAAACAAGAACGAAUAUGCUAUUGGAGACUGAAAUCUCAACAGAAAUCUCCUUCCUUUUUCCAAGGGUUUUCCCUUCACAAAGGGUUGCCCCUUUCUCAAACUGAGACUGCUCUGUUUCUGUUUGCCAUUACUACGAUUCUGAAUGCCUCCGCUUCUAUUCCCCAUUUUUUUCUUUUUAUUAUUUAAGCUCGCUCAUAAAUCAAUUUUGUAACUAAUUACUAUUGACAACUCUAGCUACUUUGCCCAUUACUAGCUAAAGUUGGCUUUAUUUCCCAUUAUUCUUCUUUUGUGGGUUCUAUCACCAACGUAGUUGCAGGUCCAACAGCAGCUGUCGUAGUUUCUUGUGGUUUCAGCCAGAUAGAAAAUGUGAACUAGGGUGUGACAGGUUUCAGAGCCGGUGUCAUCCUAUUCCUAGUUUCUCCUCUUCAAUAUUAGGUGGUUCAGCAUUGCCUUUCUUCAUCUUCUUCUUUGUCCUGUGUAUGGAAUGCUGAGUUUCUCUUCUCUUGGUGAUAGCUCACUAUUAAAAUGGCGUGCCUUCUCUUCUUUCUGGCUGUUUGGAUUUGUCUCAAUUUUCUUGUGAAGAUUGCUGAGUUCUGUACUAAAUUUAAGCUUUUGUGAUUCAGGGAGAGCACUAGUUGCCUAAGUUGAUUGGACAGAUGGGCUAGUGUUAUUCUUGUUCUGUUUGCAGAUAUGAGGAUGGUUCCAUGCUUUGGUGGGAUGUACGAAAUCCUGGAGUUCCAGUAACUUCUGUAAAAUUCCAUUCUGAGCCAGUUCUUAGCAUCUGUAUUGACGGAUCUUGCAAAGGGGGUAUCUCAGGAGCUGCGGAUGACAAAAUUGUCAUGUACAGCUUGGAUCAUUCCUCGGUAACUU